rnacentral:rRNA from 1 species
CCCGGUGACAUAAAGUUUAACGGCCGCGGUACACUGACCGUGCAAAGGUAGCAUAAUCAUUUGCCUUCUAAUUAGAGGCUGGAAUGAAUGGAUAUACGAAAUUGAAGCUGUCUCUAGGUUAAAUAUAAAAAUUGGUCUUUAGGUGAAGAAACCUAAAUUUUAAUGAAAGACAAAAAGACCCUAUUGAGCUUUAUUUUUAUGGGUAAUUUUUGAAUAAUUUACUUAUAAACUCUAAUAGAUUUGGUUGGGGCGACAGGGGAAUAGGAGAAAAUCUUCCCCUUAUUUUUAGAAUAUUUAUUCUUUUAUUUGAUCUACUAAGGUGAUAAAAAGAAAUAGUUACCAUAGGGAUAACAGGCUAAUUCCUCCGGAGAGUUCAAAUUGAUGGGGGAGAUUGGCACCUCGAUGUUGGCUUAAGAUAUCCUAAGGAUGUAGCAGUCUUUAAGGGUUGGUUUGUUCAACCAUUAAAAUCUU